GCAGUAUCCUAACUGUGCUAAGGUAGCAUAAUCAUUAGUUUUUUAAUUGAGGACUGGUAUGAAUGGCUAAACGAGAAAUCAACUUUUUUUGUUAUAUAAAUUGAAUUUAAUUUUUUAGUGAAAAAGCUAAAAUGUUUCAGAAAGACGAGAAGACCCUAUAGAGUUUUAUAUUUUAUAAAUUUUUUUCUAAUUAGAUUUUUUUGGAAUAAAUUUUAAAGAAUAUUUUGUUGGGGCGACAUUAAGAUAAAAAAAACUCUUUAUUUUUAAGAUUUUUAUAGAAAUAUAGUUUGAUCCUCUAAAAGAGAUCAAAAGAAAAAAUUACCUUAGGGAUAACAGCGUAAUCUUUUUUGAGAGUUCUAAUCGACAAAAAGGUUUGCGACCUCGAUGUUGGACUAAAAUUUAGGCAGGGUGCAGCAGUUCUGCUUUUAGGUCUGUUCGACCUAUA
rnacentral:rRNA from 1 species